rnacentral:rRNA from 1 species
AUGGAGCUGAACACCGCUGCAACCAUGGUGGCGCCACCUCUGACCAAGGGAUUGCGACGCCAGCAAAGCAAAGGAAGAUCCGCAACAAAACUCAAAAAAAUUGAGAUAUCUCAUAUAUUGGCAAAGCUAAUGCCUGAGAGGGAGCUACCAAACAAGCAUGCUUUAUAUUUGGGACGUGCAGGCUGGGAGGAUCAUUGGUAA